GAUGAACGCUAGCGGCAGGCUUAACACAUGCAAGUCGAGGGGCAGCAUAUUUUGUAGUAAUACAAGAUGAUGGCGACCGGCGCACGGGUGCGUAACGCGUAUGCAACCUACCAUAUACAGGGGGAUAAACUUUCGAAAGGGAGCCUAAUACCCCAUAGUAUUAUUUUAAGGCAUCUUGCAAUAAUUAAAGAUUAAUUGGUAUAUGAUGGGCAUGCGUGUUAUUAGCCAGUUGGUAAGGUAACGGCUUACCAAGGCGACGAUGACUAGGGGUUCUGAGAGGAAGAUCCCCCACACUGGUACUGAGACACGGACAAGACUCCUACGGGAGGCAGCAGUGAGGAAUAUUGGUCAAUGGGCGAGAGCCUGAACCAGCCAUGCCGCGUGCAGGAAGACGGCCCUAUGGGUUGUAAACUGCUUUUAUGUGAGGAUAAACCUAUUCUUGCGAGAGUAGCUGAAGGUAUCACAUGAAUAAGGAUCGGCUAACUCCGUGCCAGCCGCCGCGGUAA
rnacentral:rRNA from 1 species